CCUACGGGGUGCAGCAGUGGGGAAUAUUCGGCAAUGGGCGCAAGCCUGACACAGCAACGCCGCGUGAAGGAAGAAGGCUUUCGGGUUGUAAACUUCUUUUAAGAGGGAAGAGCAGAAGACGGUACCUCUUGAAUAAGACACGGCUAACUACGUGCCAGCAGCCGCGGUAAUACGUUGGUGGCAAGCGUUGUCCGGAUUUACUUGGGGGAAUGGGCGUGUAGCCGGGCUGACAAGUCAGAUGUGAACUUCCGGGGCUCAACCCCGGGCCUGCAUUUGAAACUGUUGAUCUUGAGUAUCGGAGAGGCAGGCGGAAUGCCUAGUGUAGCGGUGAAAUGCGUAGAUAUUAGGAGGAACACCAGUGGCGAAGGCAGCCUGCUGGACGACAACUGACGGUGAGGCGCGAAAGCGUGGGGAGCAAACAGGAUUAGAUACCCUUGUAGUC
rnacentral:rRNA from 1 species